CCUACUAUCCAGUGCCUGGGAGCCCAACUCCAGCCCUCAUCCUACCUAGACCCAGGGAAACCACUCUGUCCGGGAACCUCAGGUGACUCCACAGAGUCCUGAUGGGAAAAAGAAUUGGCAGAGGCUUCCAGGAUGCAGAAAGGUCAGAAGUCAGCAUGUGCCCCAGUCGGUGAACCAGACAAGCGUCUGUUCUGUCCCACUGCCCCAUCAAAAGGGACAGCAGCGGCCGGUGCCUGCCUUGAUGGGGUGAAGGGUCAGGGUUGCCAGACCUUCAAUUUUGCAAGAAGCAAGAAAUAUCAUUUAAAACAGGCAAGCAGUGGUUUCUAUUAAUAAGACCAGUGCUUAAAACAAGCCCCCAAGAGCCUGAGGCACUUUAUGGGGAUCAGGUGCUGGAGCGGAAUGACAGAAAAUGAAGGCUCCCCUUGAAAUACCCCCAUUGGAACCGUCAGCAGCAGGUCCUCAAUCCCCUGCCAUGUCCUGAUGCCCAUCUGAGGACACAGAAGAGGACCCAAGUGUGCCUGGCUGGCUUUCCCCUCCAGCCUCAUCCUCUCUGACGACAAGACAACUAAAAUGUCUUUGACUUAA